ACUCAGUGACGUCAUAUGAUGGCGCCGCGGAUGGCAGCCACGGUGAGUCGCUCUCUGUUUAUUUGUCUUAUUUUGUGUGUUUUCUGUGUCCUCUGCUGUCCAUCCCGGAUCACUUUUACCAGAGAAGCUCUGUUAAACAUCGGACAGACUUCUUCUGGUAUUUUCUCUCCUGUUCUCUCCGAUUCAGACUGUUUGUCGGAGAUUCUAGCCGGAGCGGCGGUGCUGUACAAGCUAGCGCGACGACGGCGGCGCGGAAAGCGAGCCGGAGCACUCGAACACGGACUUCAGCAGAUCCGCUGCGCUGUGCUUUGUGGAAACGUGGCUUAGCGAACAAACCCCCCACCACGCCGUGGAGCUAGCCGGGUUCAGGCUAAUGCGAGCAGAUCGCAGCGCGGAGCUCUCCGGAAAAUCAAAGGGAGGUGGUCUCUGUUUCUACAUUAAUGAACGUUGGUGUACUGAUGUCACGGUGUUGAAAGAGUUUUGCAGCCCUCUCCUAGAAACACUUUUCAUAAACUGCCGGCCGUUCUAUUCACCACGUGAGUUCUCCUCGAUCGUCAUGACGGCUGUUUACAUCCCACCACACGCACGUGCGAGUGAAGCCACGCAGAUGCUGGCUGACCAGGGCGAACCUCACACACGAACUCCCCAGAUACAGACAGCACGUAACGUGUCCCACCAGAGGGGCACAGACUCUGGACCACUGCUACACCGUGAUCAAGGAUGCAUACCACUCUGCGGCUCGUGCAGCUUUAGGACUCUCGGACCACUGUCUAGUUCAUCUGAUCCCGGCCUACAGGCAGAAACUAAAAACUUCUAAGCCUGUGGUGAGGACUGUGAGGAAGUGGACAGUGGAGUCAAGGCAGGACCUCCAAGCCUGCUUUGACUGCAGCGAUUGGGGAGCUUUCGAAGCUGCAACUUCAGACUUUCAUGAACUCA